UACGUAGGGUGCAAGCGUUGUCCGGAAUUAUUGGGCGUAAAGAGCUCGUAGGCGGUCUGUCGCGUCUGCUGUGAAAACUCGGGGCUUAACCCCGGGCCUGCAGUGGGUACGGGCAGACUAGAGUGCGGUAGGGGAGACUGGAAUUCCUGGUGUAGCGGUGAAAUGCGCAGAUAUCAGGAGGAACACCGGUGGCGAAGGCGGGUCUCUGGGCCGUAACUGACGCUGAGGAGCGAAAGCCAGGGGAGCAAACAGG
rnacentral:rRNA from 1 species